rnacentral:rRNA from 1 species
AUGGCAGGCCAUACGUCAACAACUACAGGUUCAUCGGGAGGAAUGGACAAACGGCUCACGAAAGCAGCCAUAUCUGGUGCUUCCACGUCAAUGUAUGCCAUGGCUGCAGUGGAUCGAAGCAUUCUGCUUGGAAGAACUCCAGCCGGGAACACCUGCCUCCACAUAUCCUGCAUUUAUGGCCAUGUGGGAUUCUGCAAGGACGUGCUGGAACUGGAAGAGUCUCUCAUCAAGGAUGUGAACUUGGACAAGGAGACAGCACUUAUCACCGCGGUGAGAAAUGGUCAAGUCUCUUUGGCUUCUUUCUUACUCGGUCGACACUGCUCUGUGCUAGGAUUGAGACGGGCAAUCCUGCAACAAGACAUGUGUGGAUUUAAUGCACUGCACCAUGCCAUUCGCUGCGGCCACAAGGAUCUUGCGAUGGAGUUGAUAGCAGCAGAGCCUGCGCUGUCGCAAGCUAUGGGCAAGCACAACGAGUCACCAAUGUACUUUGCCGUGAUGAGAAAUUUUACACUGGUUUUUGAGAAACUAAUGCAAAAUCCUUUGUCUGCUUGUUUGGGAGGACAACACGGACGCAAUUGUUUGCAUGCUGCAGUUAUGAAUGGGGAUCAAGAAUCCGUCAAAAUAAUUAUGAAGAAACGUCCUGAAUUGGCCAGAGAAGCUGACACCACAAAGCAAAAUACUCCAAUAACCAAUAGUACUUGCUGUACAAUACGACAAGAUUGA